CCCGCUGAAUUUAAGCAUAUAAGUAAGCGGGGGAAAAGGAACUAAACAGGAUUCCCUUAGUAAUGGCGAACGAACAGGGAUCAGCUUGGGUUGGAAACCGGGGCUUCUGCCUUGGAUUGUGGCCUUUAGACAUACUACCAACGGCGGCGCGAGCGUAAGCCUCUUGGAACAGAGCGUCUACCUAGGUGAGAAUCCUGUGUUUCGCUUGAUGCCCGCCGUGCACGGUACUUGCUCUCAGAGUCACGCUCCUCGGAAUUGGAGCGUAAAUUGGGUGGUAAAUUUCAUCUAAAGCUAAAUACAGGCUCGAGACCGAUAGCAAACAAGUACCAUGAGGGAAAGAUGAAAAGGACUUUGAAAAGAGAGUUAAAAGUGCUUGAAAUCGCUGAACUGGAAGCGAAUGGAACUAGUGCUCUGGUUGAGAUUGCUGCAGGUGGCUGCAAAAUCUGGGCUCUGGAAUGCAAAUCCUUGGUCUAGUUUGGAGUAGUUGCUUGCAAUGUGUCUCAGCUUGAACAUCAACUUUCAUGCAUGCGUGAGGAUGGCCCUUGGCUCAUGCUGUCUUACUGCGGUGAAAUUCUUGUGCCUUUUGGGAUUCAGGCGUGUGUGGACUGUUGAUCAAUUAGUUCCAUUCGACCCGUCUUGA
rnacentral:rRNA from 1 species